GCCAGGACUCUCUCGGCGCGCGGUGGAGAACUGAUAGACUUCGGAAGGAAGAUGGUUGCUGGUGAGGCUAGCGUACGUGGAAAUAGCGAGUGGAAUCUGAGUCCAGUCCGCAGAAGGCGGGGUGGGAUCCUGGGGACUUCAGAACCCCAACCAGCGGCAGGAGGAGACGGCGGGCUCUUGGUUCUUCAGUGGGACCUGUGAAAACAGCACUGUACCUGCUGACCUUAGGUGAAACUGCAGUAAACUCUGACCUUCCCAUGUGAGUUUUCCAUGACCCCAGGAUGAAGUGGAACAUCUCCUUCCCCAGAUGUCUGGGCACCUUGAAAAUGAAGUUUGAACACAUAUUUUGGUCUCCUAAUAAAACUUCUCUUCCAAGACUCUUUGUAAAUAAGCAAUAAAAAGUUUGAGUGCU